UCACUAGAGUAUUCUCAUUCUAGGUGCUGGUGAUACAACAAUGAGUAUACAAAGGGAGAGAGUAAAAAACAAAAAAGCCUUCUCUCAUGAAGCUUAUCUGAUAGUAGAGAUGAUUCACAUCAUUGUUUUAGCCUCAGCUCCCAUCCACCAUCAGGAAUUUGGCAAUGUUUGUGAUCGAUGAACCAAUCCUAAGAAUAACCAUUACUGUUGAUUUCAAUGACAAUACACAGGAAAAGUUGUGUGACUCAUCUGUCCCUCAGGUAAGAAUUGAUUAAAAACAAAGGACCUACUUCAUCAACUGGGUGAACACAAAGAAUGCACUCACCAAUCUGGGUCUUUGUGUUUUUUAAAAUGAUGAUUUAGAUGUACUCUGUAAUCUGCUUUCAUCUGUGUUAAAACUUGUUGAUGAGACAGUCGAAGCAUUAUUUGCCCUGCUAAAGUGUCUAAGUUUUCCCCUACUUGCUACAUGGAAUGACUCAUGAUGCUUGAUGUAAUCUUGAGAAGUCCAAGGACAACGAGCACAUUUCAACAAAACUCUAUCAGAACCAAAAUGAUUCUGGCUAAUCUAAACCACAGCAUUAUGGUAUCCAUUUUAGGAUGUCUGAAGCAAUCAAGAUAUUAAUACCUUAGCAUCCAUUGCCAUAAGAACAUGUCAUUCCUUCGUCCAAGAUUUAUGCUACGUAAUAGGGAUGCAAUGAUGGAAAAAAAGAACACAACAGCAAUGAUAAAACCUACAUAAUACACUAACUAGCACAAGUAAGAAUUUCCAUGAAAUUCAAGUAGUAAUGGGAGAAGCACACCAUGCAAUUUAAGAAGAGGCACAGAGUGACCUUCACAUUUCAUUUGGAUUACAGAACCUCAUGAAAUUGUACUUUUUUGUAGAAAUCAAUAGUCUACAACAAACAGAUAUCACCAAAACACUAUAGCUCCAUAUGCCUGCAAAGCUUUGCUGAUCCUCCCAGCAUUUAUUAUGUAUCUGAUUGUGUGGGUGGCCACCCUCAUAAGAGCAGUUGGGACAAAAAUGGUAAAUCUCGUCUUGGAAUUCAAAAGACACCAUAACAGAUGUUAUACAAAAGGAAUGAGAAUACAGAAGGAAGAAAAGAAGAGCUGUUAUGAACCUCUACAGAGAUAA
rnacentral:lncRNA from 1 species